rnacentral:rRNA from 1 species
GACGAACGCUGGCGGCGUGCCUAAUACAUGCAAGUCGAACGGAGCGGCGGACGGGUGAGUGAUGCCUGGGAAUCUGCCUGGUAGUGGGGGAUAACGUACGGAAACGGGCGCUACUACCGCAUACUCUAAGAUGCGCCUAGGUCGGAUUAGCUAGUUGGUGGGGUAAAGGCCUACCAAGGCGACGAUCCGUAACUGGUCUGAGAGGAUGAUAAGUAACACUUGAACUGAUACACGGUCCAGACUCCGACGGGAGGCAGCAGUGGGGAAUAUUGGACAAUGGGCGAAAGCCUGAUCCAGCCAUGCCGCGUGUGUGAAGAAGGUCUUCGGAUUGUAAAGCACUGUAAGUUGGGAGGCGUUACCAACAGAAUAAGCACCGGCUAACUUCGUGCCAGCAGCCGCGGUAAUUC